rnacentral:rRNA from 1 species
AGAUUGAACGCUGGCGGCAUGCCUUACACAUGCAAGUCGAACGGCAGCACGGGAGCAAUCCUGGUGGCGAGUGGCGAACGGGUGAGUAAUACAUCGGAACGUGCCCAAUCGUGGGGGAUAACGCAGCGAAAGCUGUGCUAAUACCGCAUAAGAUCUACGGAUGAAAGCAGGGGAUCGCAAGACCUUGCGCGAAUGGAGCGGCCGAUGGCAGAUUAGGUAGUUGGUGAGGUAAAGGCUCACCAAGCCUUCGAUCUGUAGCUGGUCUGAGAGGACGACCAGCCACACUGGGACUGAGACACGGCCCAGACUCCUACGGGAGGCAGCAGUGGGGAAUUUGGACAAUGGGACGAAAGCCUGAUCCAGCCAUGCCG